rnacentral:rRNA from 1 species
UGGGGAAUUUUGCACAAUGGGGGAAACCCUGAUGCAGCGACGCCGCGUGAUUUAGAAGGCCUUCGGGUUGAAAAAAUCUUUUAUAUGGGAAGAAAAUGUCAGUACCAUAGGAAUAAGGACCGCCUAAUUACGUGCCAGCAGCCGCGGUAAUACGUAAGGUCCGAGCGUUUUCCGGAAUCAUUGGGCGUAAAGGGUACGUAGGCGGGUAAGCAAGUUAGAAGUGAAAUCCUGUAGCUCAACUACAGUAAGCUUUUAAAACUGCUCAUCUUGAGAUAUGGAAGGGAAAGUGGAAUUCCUAGUGUAGCGGUGAAAUGCGCAGAUAUUAGGGGGAAUACCGGUGGCGAAGGCGACUUUCUGGCCAUAAUCGGACGCUGUGGUACGAAAGCGUGGGUAGCAAACAGG